GCUUCUAGUUGGCUAAACCUUGGUGCUUCCUUAGAGCUGGUAACGGCGUAAGUUGCAGGCUGCAGGUGUGAGAAAACACAACACAGCCAACUGACUGGGGCACGUCUCCACCGGCACACGCUGGGCAGCCAUUAAACAUGAAGGUGUGGUAUGUGAAAAGAUCAGGUUACAAAACAGCACUAACACUCCCAUUUUCAAAAAACAAAACAAAACAAAACGCAGAUCUGUAUCCGCACAGGAAGGAAGCCGAGGCGUGCACAGGCCAACGUGUGUUUCUCUCUGGAGGAUGGGGUGACAGGUGCUUUUAUUUCCUUUUUGCCUGUCUGUGCUUUAGAAUUUUCAAAUUCAUUUCCCCAAAUGAAUCAGAGUUACCGUUCGAAAGGGGAACGACAGAGGUUAUUAACAACAAAACCAUCCCCCACCUGCCGCAGCAGCAGCUCCUGGAGUCUAAGAAGGUCAGCUCAGCUUUCAAGGCUUCCAGAAGGCUCUCAGAUUUUCCACUGAUCUGUCCAGGCAUAAGCAGAGAUCUGCGAAAGUAUGCAGGGCAGCACCUAUGAGAAGGAACUCAGAGACUCAAAGGGUUUAAAGUCCUGCACCCAUGGUGAACUGCUGACUCAAAGAGGAUGGAGCAGAACUGGGUCCCUAGGGGUGGAGACCAUGGUCAUCAAGGGAAAGAAAAUGAAAUGGCUCUGUAUGUAGGUCAGCGACCCCCUGUCUACUGAAGGAUCCAAGCCAGGACACCACACUGCAUGUAUAGAACUUGAUUUUGAACAAAAGAACAGCAAAUAUAGAUAUGCCUCUUUGCGGUGGGAGUCAUGGUGUGUUCCUAGACUUGGAAUGUCAUCAAAUGGGUUAAUUUUCCUUUGGAAUAUGUUAUAAUAAAGAGUAUGUUCUUGACUAGGGAUAUUACUGGAAAUAAAUCAUAGAUGACCAACAAAUGUGGAGAUAAAGGAAAGAAACAACAAACCCUUUAUCAAUUAAAAUAGUGAAAUAUUGUUUCAAUUCUCAUAAAAUAGAUGCAGUGAUUAUACAAGAGACCUCAGCCAUUGCAGUGAGCACCUACAUAAUUCUUAACUCUAGGCCAAGUGCUCUUCUAAACGUUUUCCUUACAUUAGCUAAUUUAACUAGCUACCCUAUGUGGUAGGCUCAAAUAUUAUCUUUAUUUUACAGAUGAGAACACUGAGACACAGAAAAAUGAAAUAACUUGCCCAAGCUCGUACUACUAGUAAGUGUUAGAAUUGGGGUUCAACCUAGGCCUCAAAUGUAGCAAAAUAUGUACUUGUAACAUAUGAAAUUGUAGGGUUAAAAAAAUAUGAUCAAGACCGAGUGCAAUCAAUGUAAAAUUGCUUAAUAAUUUUGCCCAUUUCCUUUGUAUACAGAAAGACUUUUGCUUUGAUUUGGUUGGCUUAUGUCUUUUAAUAAAGCUGAUGCUUCCUUCUGUCCUAGGAAAUUUCCGGUAGAAAUCCACCAGCCCACACCCCCAACUUGCAUGCACAUAGUGUAUUCUACACAUCUCUGGCCCCACGUCUAGCACAGUGCUGUAUCAUCACCUUCGUCUCCCUUGAAGCUGAAAGCAGCCUGAGGGACUAGACUACGCAGGAUGCAGCACAGCCACGGUACAUCAUAGGGCUCAACAACGGGCAACUUGAUGCUUAUGGGAAUGAAGUCAUUGUUGGGUGAACUUGGAGCUAUGCUUUUCAAAAAUAGAUAAGAGUGCUAUAAUUUCAUCACCAAAUGGCAACUUUGUACCCCAGUAAAUCAUCCACCAAAUGACUCGAGGACAGAAAUUGUAAGUUAAAAUGAGGUAGAAGUUAAUCUUUAUUUAUUAUCCAUUCAGUAUGGCUGUCUACUUACAUCUUUCAAAAAGCAUUGAGAAAUGUGUUUAUACGCAUUUCUACUUUUGAAUCUUAUAUCUAUGUAUAUCUAAUCUCUCAUGUCUUAUGCCUUAUGUGAACCUGAAAUGUACAAAAUGAACAAAGUUGAAAUAAACAAAACGUUAUUCAUACCCAGAUGUCAGAAUUGGUAGAUGGGAACAUUGAGAUAGUUAUUAUAACUGUAUGCCGUAUGUUUGAGAAGCUAGGGGAAAGACUGAACAUGUUAAGUAAAGACAUGGAAGAUAUGAAAAAGACCUACAAUUGG